AGAGUUUGAUCCUGGCUCAGAUUGAACGCUGGCGGCAUGCCUUACACAUGCAAGUCGAACGGUAACGCGGGGCAACCUGGCGACGAGUGGCGAACGGGUGAGUAAUAUAUCGGAACGUGCCCAGUUGUGGGGGAUAACUGCUCGAAAGAGCAGCUAAUACCGCAUACGACCUGAGGGUGAAAGCGGGGGAUCGCAAGACCUCGCGCAAUUGGAGCGGCCGAUAUCAGAUUAGGUAGUUGGUGGGGUAAAGGCCUACCAAGCCUACGAUCUGUAGCUGGUCUGAGAGGACGACCAGCCACACUGGGACUGAGACACGGCCCAGACUCCUACGGGAGGCAGCAGUGGGGAAUUUUGGACAAUGGGGGCAACCCUGAUCCAGCCAUGCCGCGUGCGGGAAGAAGGCCUUCGGGUUGUAAACCGCUUUUGUCAGGGAAGAAAAGACUCCUACUAAUACUGGGGGUUCAUGACGGUACCUGAAGAAUAAGCACCGGCUAACUACGUGCCAGCAGCCGCGGUAAUACGUAGGGUGCAAGCGUUAAUCGGAAUUACUGGGCGUAAAGCGUGCGCAGGCGGUUAUGCAAGACAGAUGUGAAAUCCCCGGGCUCAACCUGGGAACUGCAUUUGUGACUGCAUGGCUAGAGUACGGUAGAGGGCGAUGGAAUUCCGCGUGUAGCAGUGAAAUGCGUAGAUAUGCGGAGGAACACCGAUGGCGAAAGCAAUCCCCCUGGACCUGUACUAAGCGUCAUGCACGAAAGCGUGGGGAGCAAACAGGAUUAGAUACCCUGGUAGUCCACGCCCUAAACGAUGUCAACUGGUUGUUGGGAGGGUUUCUUCUCAGUAACGUAGCUAACGCGUGAAGUUGACCGCCUGGGGAGUACGGCCGCAAGGUUGAAACGCAAAGGAAUUGACGGGGACCCGCACAAGCGGUGGAUGAUGUGGUUUAAUUCGAUGCAACGCGAAAAACCUUACCUACCCUUGACAUGCCAGGAAUCCUGCAGAGAUGUGGGAGUGCUCGAAAGAGAACCUGGACACAGGUGCUGCAUGGCCGUCGUCAGCUCGUGUCGUGAGAUGUUGGGUUAAGUCCCGCAACGAGCGCAACCCUUGUCAUUAGUUGCUACGAAAGGGCACUGUAAUGAGACUGCCGGUGACAAACCGGAGGAAGGUGGGGAUGACGUCAGGUCAUCAUGGCCCUUAUGGGUAGGGCUACACACGUCAUACAAUGGCCGGGACAGAGGGCUGCCAACCCGCGAGGGGGAGCUAAUCCCAGAAACCCGGUCGUAGUCCGGAUCGCAGUCUGCAACUCGACUGCGUGAAGUCGGAAUCGCUAGUAAUCGCGGAUCAGCUUGCCGCGGUGAAUACGUUCCCGGGUCUUGUACACACCGCCCGUCACACCAUGGGAGCGGGUUCUGCCAGAAGUAGUUAGCCUAACCGCAAGGGGGGCGAUUACCACGGCAGGGUUCGUGACUGGGGUGAAGUCGUAACAAGGUACC
rnacentral:rRNA from 1 species